GCGUGCCUAAUACAUGCAAGUCGAGCGAAUUUUUGGGAGCUUGCUCCCGAAAGUUAGCGGCGGACGGGUGAGUAACACGUGGGCAACCUGCCUAUAAGACUGGGAUAACUUCGGGAAACCGGAGCUAAUACCGGAUAAUUCUUAUCUACUCAUGUAGAUAAGCUGAAAGACGGUUUCGGCUGUCACUUAUAGAUGGGCCCGCGGCGCAUUAGCUAGUUGGUGAGGUAACGGCUCACCAAGGCAACGAUGCGUAGCCGACCUGAGAGGGUGAUCGGUCACACUGGGACUGAGACACGGCCCAGACUCCUACGGGAGGCAGCAGUAGGGAAUCUUCCGCAAUGGACGAAAGUCUGACGGAGCAACGCCGCGUGAGUGAUGAAGGUUUUCGGAUCGUAAAACUCUGUUGUUAGGGAAGAACAAGUACGAGAGCAACUGCUCGUACCUUGACGGUACCUAACCAGAAAGCCACGGCUAACUACGUGCCAGCAGCCGCGGUAAUACGUAGGUGGCAAGCGUUGUCCGGAAUUAUUGGGCGUAAAGCGCGCGCAGGCGGUCCUUUAAGUCUGAUGUGAAAGCCCACGGCUCAACCGUGGAGGGUCAUUGGAAACUGGGGGACUUGAGUGCAGGAGAGAAGAGUGGAAUUCCACGUGUAGCGGUGAAAUGCGUAGAGAUGUGGAGGAACACCAGUGGCGAAG
rnacentral:rRNA from 1 species